UAGCGGUGAAAUGCGUAGAGAUGUGGAGGAACACCAGUGGCGAAGGCGGCUCUCUGGCCUGUAACUGACGCUGAGGCGCGAAAGCGUGGGGAGCGAACAGGAUUAGAUACCCUGGUAGUCCACGCCGUAAACGUUGAGUGCUAGGUGUUAGGGGUUUCGAUACCCUUAGUGCCGAAGCAAACGCAUUAAGCACUCCGCCUGGGGAGUACGACCGCAAGGUUGAAACUCAAAGGAAUUGACGGGGGCCCGCACAAGCGGUGGAGCAUGUGGUUUAAUUCGACGCAACGCGAAGAACCUUACCAGGUCUUGACAUCUUUUGCUACUUCCAGAGAUGGAAGGUUCCCCUUCGGGGGACAAAAUGACAGGUGGUGCAUGGUUGUCGUCAGCUCGUGUCGUGAGAUGUUGGGUUAAGUCCCGCAACGAGCGCAACCCUUAAUCUUAGUUGCCAGCAUUCAGUUGGGCACUCUAAGGUGACUGCCGGUGACAAACCGGAGGAAGGUGGGGAUGACGUCAAAUCAUCAUGCCCCUUAUGACCUGGGCUACACACGUGCUACAAUGGAUGGUACAGAGGGGAGCGAAGCCGCGAGGUGGAGCGAAUCUCAAAAAGCCAUUCUCAGUUCGGACUGCAGGCUGCAACUCGCCUGCAUGAAGCCGGAAUCGCUAGUAAUCGCGGAUCAGCAUGCCGCGGUGAAUACGUUCCCGGGCCUUGUACACACCGCCCGUCACACCACGAGAGCUUGCAACACCCGAAGUCGGUGAGG
rnacentral:rRNA from 2 species